rnacentral:misc_RNA from 1 species
AAUGAAGUAAAGAACAAUAAAAAUUUGUUUAAUGAAUUGGAAUGAAAGAACAGAAGAGGGUUUGCAGCUUUGAUUUUGUAGAACUUUGACUGAAAAACUCCUCCUUGAUACUGAUAUUCUUCUCCUCAAGACGGCUGGAGAGAUUCAGAAUGCGAGUCUCUUUAAAACUCCUAAAAAAGGUGCUGUCAAAGGAUCCUCUCUCUCUUUGGAUGUUUUCUCUUUCUAUUUAUAAUAACUGCUCUAGGGUUAGGUCAUUUUGA